rnacentral:lncRNA from 1 species
AAAUAAUUAAAUAUAAGAUCUAAAACUACAAAAUUCUUAGAAGAAAACAUAAGGAAAAAGCUCCUCGAUGUUGGUCUUGGCGAUGAUUUUUGGGACAUGGCAUCAAAAGCAAAAAUAAACAAAUAGGUGUACAACAAACUAAAAAGCUUCUACAUGGAAAAUAAAUAAAUAAAUAAAAUCAACAGAGAGACAAUGUGAAAUGAAAGAAAUGACAAAACGAAAGAAAAUAU